GAUGAACGCUGGCGGCGUGCCUAAUACAUGCAAGUCGAGCGAACGGACGAGAAGCUUGCUUCUCUGAUGUUAGCGGCGGACGGGUGAGUAACACGUGGAUAACCUACCUAUAAGACUGGGAUAACUUCGGGAAACCGGAGCUAAUACCGGAUAAUAUUUUGAACCGCAUGGUUCAAAAGUGAAAGACGGUCUUGCUGUCACUUAUAGAUGGAUCCGCGCUGCAUUAGCUAGUUGGUGAGGUAACGGCUUACCAAGGCAACGAUGCAUAGCCGACCUGAGAGGGUGAUCGGCCACACUGGAACUGAGACACGGUCCAGACUCCUACGGGAGGCAGCAGUAGGGAAUCUUCCGCAAUGGGCGAAAGCCUGACGGAGCAACGCCGCGUGAGUGAUGAAGGUCUUCGGAUCGUAAAACUCUGUUAUUAGGGAAGAGCAUAUGUGUAAGUAACUGUGCACAUCUUGACGGUACCUAAUCAGAAAGCCACGGCUAACUACGUG
rnacentral:rRNA from 1 species